GAUGAACGCNGGCGGCGUGCUUAACACAUGCAAGUCGAGCGAGAAACUACAUGCAGACACUUCGGUAGAAGCGAGUAGCGGAAAGCGGCGGACGGGUGAGUAACGCGUAGGCAACCUGCCCUUCACAGAGGUAUAGCCUCGGGAAACCGGGAUUAAAACCACAUAAAAUCAUAGGUUCGCAUGAACCAAAGGUCAAAGAUUUAUCGGUGAAGGAUGGGCCUGCGUCUGAUUAGCUGGUUGGUAGGGUAAAAGCCUACCAAGGCGACGAUCAGUAGCCGACCUGAGAGGGUGAUCGGCCACAUUGGAACUGAGACACGGUCCAAACUCCUACGGGAGGCAGCAGUGGGGGAUAUUGCACAAUGGGGGAAACCCUGAUGCAGCAACGCCGCGUGAGGUAUGAAGGCCUUUGGGUUGUAAGCCUCUGUCCUAGGGGAAGAAAAAAANGA
rnacentral:rRNA from 1 species